UACGGAGGGUGCGAGCGUUGUUCGGAAUCACUGGGCGUAAAGGGCGUGUAGGCGGUCCGCUAAGUCUGAUGUGAAAGCCCGGGGCUCACCCCCGGAAGUGCAUUGGAAACUGGCGGACUCGAGUCCCGGAGAGGAGAGUGGAAUUCCUGGUGUAGCGGUGAAAUGCGUAGAUAUCAGGAGGAACACCGGUGGCGAAGGCGGAUCUCUGGGCCGUAACUGACGCUGAGGAGCGAAAGCAUGGGGAGCGAACAGG
rnacentral:rRNA from 1 species